AGUCACAAUGUAUAUAAUCUUUAGAAAAGUUAUUAUUAAAGAAAAAUUUGCCUUUACUCACUAUAGACAUUGAAAAAAUCUCUGAUCGACUUGAUUAUGUUAUUCAGUAUUACAAUGUUCCAAAAGAAGUUGAAUCAUCUAUACGUGUUGGCCCAAGUGGUUGUUUACAAACUUAUUUAGAUUACUUGAAAAAAAUCCAGUCCUCCAUUGCAUUUUUCAAGGAGAAUAAUCAAGAUUGCCUAGAACUUGAGGAACUAACCACAUUGUUUGAUGAUGGAACUGAUGCUUUACAACUUGAAUUUCGAAAUCUACUUUCCCGUUACAGUAAACCUAUACCAGCAGUAACAGUCUUAGAUAUGCUUGGAAUGGAUGAAGGUUUGUUGCUGUUUGAUUAAAAAA